rnacentral:rRNA from 1 species
CCGCGUGGGGGAGAGGUUUGUGGAUUGUAAACCCCUUUUCUCUAGGAAGAAUUUUGACGGUACUAGAGGAAUAAGCAUCGGCUAACUCCGUGCCAGCAGCCGCGGUAAGACGGAGGAUGCAAGCGUUAUCCGGAAUUAUUGGGCGUAAAGGGUCCGCAGGUGGUUAAUCAAGUCUGCUUUCAAAGAGUGGAGCUUAACUCCAUAGAGGGAGUGGAAACUGAUUAACUAGAGUAAGGAAGGGGUAAGAGGAAUUCCCAGUGUAGCGGUGAAAUGCGUAGAUAUUGGGAAGAACACCAGCAGCGAAGGCGUCUUACUGGUCCUUAACUGACACUGAGGGACGAAAGCUAGG